AAAAGCAGGAGAAGCAGCAAAACGAAUAAAACUUCAUGCUCGAUUUUCUCUCUUUUCUAAUUUGACUUGCCCAGCCUGGCUUCCCAUAGUUGUAGGCAAGAGCACGGGAUCCUCGUGCUGGUUUUGCACAGUCGCCAUCUGAAGUUUGUUACCUGAUUUUGGCCGCUGCAGCUAAUGCACCAAAAAGGAGAGGAGUCUGGCAGUAUAAACAGACAUAUAUUAGGACCAUCAGUGUUACUGUGUUGUCUUUGCCCCUGGAAGAUCUUGGUCCCCAAACCAUACAAAAUUGGUGGUCCAAUUGUUUAUAUGCUACUCAGUUUAACAGUAUAUACACACAUCAAAGAAGAAUUAUAUUGCAAAUUAAGAGGAGAAAUGGUACCCUUCUUAAUUACAUAUUGACGAGCUAAUAUAAUACUCAAAAUAGUCAUUAACUAUGGUGGUUUUUCUCGAUUUAGUCUCAUUCGACUAUUGUGACAUAAUUGAGUCCCAGAGAUUUGUGACUUUGCUCGUUGUAGUAAUCCGUUUGCCUUCCCAUCCAUUUGAUGUUAAAUCUGUGAGAGUAAAUGUGUAAUUUUCAUAUUCCAUCUUUCUUUCA